AGAAGGCUCCUUCGCGCAGCGGCGCGCCAACCGCAGGCGCCCUUUCUGCCGACCUCACGGGCUAUUUAAAGUCCCCUCCAGGGCAGGUGACUGAGGCCGUGAAGGUGGCCAUUGACGUCGGGUACCGCCACAUCGACUGUGCCCAUGUGUACCAGAAUGAGAAUGAGGUGGGGGUGGCCAUUCAGGAGAAGCUCAGGGAGCAGGUGGUGAAGCGUGAGGAGCUCUUCAUCGUCAGCAAGCUGUGGUGCACGUACCAUGAGAAGGGCCUGGUGAAAGGAGCCUGCCAGAAGACACUCAGCGACCUGAAGCUGGACUACCUGGACCUCUACCUUAUUCACUGGCCGACUGGCUUUAAGCCUGGGAAGGAAUUUUUCCCGUUGGAUGAGUCGGGCAAUGUGGUUCCCAGUGACACCAACAUUCUGGACACGUGGGUGGCCAUGGAAGAGCUGGUGGAUGAAGGGCUGGUGAAAGCUAUUGGCAUCUCCAACUUCAACCAUCUCCAGGUGGAGACGAUCUUAAACAAACCUGGCUUGAAGUAUAAGCCUGCAGUUAACCAG
rnacentral:sRNA from 1 species